rnacentral:rRNA from 1 species
AUUGAACGCUGGCGGCAGGCCUAACACAUGCAAGUCGAACGAGUGGCGGACGGGUGAGUAAUGUCUGGGAAACUGCCCGAUGGAGGGGGAUAACUACUGGAAACGGUAGCUAAUACCGCAUACCAUCGGAUGUGCCCAGAUGGGAUUAGCUAGUAGGUGGGGUAACGGCUCACCUAGGCGACGAUCCCUAGCUGGUCUGAGAGGAUGACAGGCCACACGGGAACUGAGACACGGUCCAGACGCCUACGGGAGGCAGAGGUGGGGAAUAUUGGACAAUGGGAGCAAGCCUGAUGCAGCCAUGCCGCGUGUAUGAAUAAGGCCUGCGGGUUGUAAGGUACUUUCAGCGAGGAGGCGUUACUCGCAGAAGAAGCACCGGCUAACUCCGUGCCAGCAGCCGCGGUAAUAC